UACGUAGGGGGCUAGCGUUAUCCGGAAUUACUGGGCGUAAAGGGUGCGUAGGUGGUUUCUUAAGUCAGAGGUGAAAGGCUACGGCUCAACCGUAGUAAGCCUUUGAAACUGGGAAACUUGAGUGCAGGAGAGGAGAGUGGAAUUCCUAGUGUAGCGGUGAAAUGCGUAGAUAUUAGGAGGAACACCAGUUGCGAAGGCGGCUCUCUGGACUGACCCUGACGCUGAGGUGCGAAAGCGUGGGUAGCAAACAGGAUUAGAUACCCCUGUAGUCCCUGAGCGGG
rnacentral:rRNA from 1 species